CUCAGAGUAUUUCUUUAAUAUUACUGAUGCACUGAUUUCUUUGUAGUUUUGCGCAGGGUCCUCUGAAAGACGCUCCUAACCUGAUCUGUACGCCGCACACAGCCUGGUACAGCGAGCAGGCGUCUCUGGAGAUGAGAGAAGCAGCCGCUACAGAGAUACGCAGAGCCAUCACAGGUACACACGCUAAUGAAUGAGCCUCCGGUCAUUAACGAGCUGAUCUGAGUGAUUAAAACAGUCCCUGUGCGUCUCAGGCCGGAUUCCUGACAGUCUGAGGAACUGUGUGAAUAAGGAGUUCUUCCUCUCAUCGGGUUCCUGGGGCCUGAUGGAGCAGCAGGUUCAUCCUGAGCUCAACGGCGCCGCCUACAGGUACGACUAGAAUCAUAUUUAAUGUUCAUCGAGCUCAUCAUUCAUUAUUUGUUUGAUUUUCAUUCAUUGUUUCACCAUGAUCCCAACCCCGUAAGCUCCACCCCCACACAGUCACGUGACAUGAGUUUAACUCUGAGCCCCGCCCACAUCUGCUUCUCUCACGCAGCCAAGUCAACCAAUCAAUGCAGGCCAUCAUGACUGGCUCCGCCCCCCAAGACAAAAUCAAUGCCUAAAGCAAGAGCAGGUUCCCAUCAGGUCUGGCUGCAGUGGCAGCGGGUUUGGAGGGUCUGGUGCCGGUGACCCACUCACUGCCCGCCGGAAACCACCCAAACACCGUCCCAAACCAGCCCUCGAAACACGGAGAGAGCAGAGAACAGCUGAGCGAGCAAUAGCAUCUUCAUCUUCAUCAUCAUCAUCAUCUUUCAUUCUUUUCCUUUUUCCCGUUUUGGAGGAAGUGGAUGUUUUUGGCGUCUCAUCAACACACGGAAUGGGGUUUGCUAGUUUGACGUGUUUCUUUUCACAAUCAUCUCUCUUACAUGUGAAUAAUUCAAUUGAAAUAAAUCAGGCAAUAGGACGAAAGUGACGCCCGAAGCCACGCCCACUCAGCCAUCCAUCACGAUGAUUGACAGCUCAGCGCUCUGCUCUGAUUGGCCAGGGCUCUCAGACUUCAGCCAAGGAGUGAAACACCAAACAAAAUCUUGCUCUCGUGUUUUGUUUGUGAAUCUGUUCAUCAAACUGUGAUCUCUACUAACGAACAGUUCUGUUUCUUUCUCGUACCAGCAGCAGUUUCGUCUUUUAUAUUCGAUGCAUUCUUGGUUUCAGCUUCACUAUAAGACUCAGGAAGAUCUCACCUUCACAGUUUUUCUUUUUCUCCACCAACUCUUGUCCAGAUUGCUGCAUAUGAACAGAUAUUUUCUCUCGUGCGUUCUCAUGUUAGUAUUUUUAUACAGUGACACGUCUCGAUGGACAAGCAGUGAAACUCAGUAGGUUUGUGUGGUUUAGAUGAAUGUCCUGUACUCAUAGUCUCGUGUGGCGUUGUCUGUCAGAAAGCCAGAUCUGAUUCAGAAGCGGGAGGUUGUGUGUUUUAUUGUGAUUAUUUGUAUGUGUUUCUUGUAUACGGUGAACAUUUAGCAUCAGUGCAGAUUGAAUAAAUCAU
rnacentral:lncRNA from 1 species